UCGAUCCAUCCCCCGACGCAGACAUCGACCAAGAUCGAAAGAGCCAACUGGUCGACCAUGGCGAGGUCUGGUGCUCGGCGGAUCGUUGCGGCGGCGAUAGUGCUGCUGCUGCUGCUGCUGCUGCUGCUGCUGCUGACCACGGUGUCACCAGCAUCAGCAUCAGGAGCAGCAGGUGUCGAUUCAGCAACGACAGCACCGGCCAAGGUGUGGCGGCUCCCUCCAAGAUUCCCUACAGAGUCCUCCCCGGUGCCAAGGCCCCCUUCUUCGUCGUCGUGGAAGGCGGUGAAAUCAUCUCUUCCUCCUCACCACCGCCUCCCCACGGAGCCGCCGUCGGAAAAGCGUACGUAAGAUGAUAUACCUAAUUAGUAAUGCAUGUAGCAGCAAAGCAUGCGGCGGCACAAGAAUGUGGAUGCAUGGUGCUGCCCUUGAUCUAUCUGUCUGUGUGAGUGUGGGUUGACGUACGUCGUCGUUCUGUUGCAUUUAAUAUGUACCAAGGAGUCGCUUCGUGUACCAAGAUGAAUAAAAUGAUAAUGAU